rnacentral:misc_RNA from 1 species
AACCUUAUGGACCUGCGGGCGUAUACCUGCGGAAGGAUCAUUACAGAGUUGCAAAACUCCCUAAACCAUUGUGAACCUACCUUCUACCGUUGCUUCGGCGGGCGGGCCUAGCGCCCCCCCGGCCCCCCGCGGGCGCCCGCCGGAGGAUAACCAAACUCUUGACAUCAGUGGCCUCUCUGAGUAUUCUUUACUGAAUAAGUCAAAACUUUCAGCAAUGGAUCUCAGAUCGGAAGAGCACAC